rfam:Theileria equi strain WA gcontig_1105316255047 apicoplast, whole genome shotgun sequence.
GCUUUAAUGGUCUAAGGGUUGAAGACAUUUUCUUUUCAAGAAAAUAAUAGGAAUUCGAGUUUCCUUUAAAGUU